UACUCUGGUUUCUCUUCAGAUCGUAUAAAUCUUUCGCCUUUUACUAAAGAUUUCCGUGGAGAGAAAACACUUAACAGGAAAAAAAAACCUGUCUACCUAGAAUUCUAUACCCAGC